rnacentral:rRNA from 1 species
GACGAACGCUGGCGGCGUGCCUAAUACAUGCAAGUCGAGCGAAGUUUUUCUGGUGCUUGCACUAGAAAAACUUAGCGGCGAACGGGUGAGUAACACGUAGAGAACCUGCCUCAUAGACUGGGACAACUAUUGGAAACGAUAGCUAAUACCGGAUAACAGUAUUUCUCGCAUGAGAGAUAUUUAAAAGUUGGUUAUGCUAACACUAUGAGAUGGCUUUGCGGUGCAUUAGCUAGUUGGUGGGGUAAAGGCCCACCAAGGCGACGAUGCAUAGCCGACCUGAGAGGGUGAUCGGCCACACUGGGACUGAGACACGGCCCAGACUCCUACGGGAGGCAGCAGUAGGGAAUCUUCCGCAAUGGGCGAAAGCCUGACGGAGCAACGCCGCGUGAGUGAAGAAGGAUUUCGGUUCGUAAAGCUCUGUUGUUAGGGAAGAAUGGAUAUGUAGUAACUAUACAUGUAAGAGACGGUACCUAACCAGAAAGCCACGGCUAACUACGUG